rnacentral:rRNA from 1 species
CCCCUACGGGAGGCAGCAGUGGGGAAUAUUGCACAAUGGGCGCAAGCCUGAUGCAGCGACGCCGCGUGAGGGAUGGAGGCCUUCGGGUUGUGAACCUCUUUCGCCAGUGAAGCAGGCCUGCCCCUUUGGUGGGUGGGUUGACGGUACCUAACCAGAAAGCCACGGCUAACUACGUGCCAGCAGCCGCGGUAAUGGGG